AUGGGAAAUCGGACUAGCAAAGACAAGAAUGCGGCUAAGGUCGAGGACCCAAAGAAAGCAAUCGAUUUGAACAAUAGCUCUGCAGCCCACGAGUCUGAUAUUCUUAGUAUUUCUAAAGAAGAGUAUGAGGACCGGUUCAGGGAUUGCAUUAUCGGCUUGAAGGAUAUAACUGACAUUGUUUUGAAGGCAGUGAGAGCUGCAGAAGCGGAAGCCAGAUCAGCGAAUGCUCCUGAGGAAGCUGUGAAAGCAGCAGGUGAUGCUGCUGCUGAGCUUGUGAAAUCUGCUGCUUUAGAGGUUUGGAAGAGUGAAAAUAGUGGCGAUGCCGUUGUAUUAGCUGCGGAGAAAGCUGCAGCUACUGUAGUCGAUGCUGCCAUGUCCACUAGCGUCUCAAGAAGCUCUGACCAGGUUAAUGAGGAGCAUGUUGUUGAAGAAGCUGUGAAAAUUAGUGAGGACCAGGAUCUGGAAGAUUUUGUUAUCAUUGACCAGGAGCAGCUCUUGCUACUUAGGGAAAAAUAUAGCAUUUUGUGCUUGCAGUAUCUGGGAGAGUACGUUGAAGCUUUGGGUCCUGUUCUUCAUGAAAAAGGUGUUGAUGUUUGCCUCGCAUUGCUGCAACGGGGAAUCAAAGACCAGGAGGGAUGUGGCCACGUUUCACUACUUCAUGAAAUUCUUAGAUUGAUUUGUGCCCUGGCCGCACACCGGAAAUUUGCUGCGCUAUUUGUUGACCGGGGUGGUAUUCAGAAGAUCCUCUCUGUCCCUAAGAUUACUCAGACAUAUACUGCUCUGUCGGCAUGCUUGUUUACUUUCGGUUCUCUCCAGUCUACCAUGGAACGUGUUUGUGCGCUUUCACCUGACACACUCAACAAUGUGGUUGAACUAGCGCUGCAACUCUUAGAAUGCCCACAAGAUGCAGCUAGAAAAAAUGCAGCCAUAUUCUUUGCUGCUGCAUUUGUGUUCAAAGCUGUUCUGGAUUCAUUUGAUGCACAGGAUGGGAUGCAAAAACUUCUGAAUAUAUUACAAGUUGCUGCAUCUGUAAGGUCGGGUGGUAACUCCGGAGCAUUAGGAUCCUCCAACGCGAAUCAAGGGAAUGACCGAUCACCUGCUGAAAUUCUGACUCAGUCAGAAAAGCAGGUCGCGUAUCAUUCAUGUGUUGCACUACGGCAAUAUUUUAGAGCUCAUCUCCUUCAGCUUGUUGAUUCCAUCCGGCCAAGCAAGAGUAUCCGUAGUAUUGCUCGGAAUACUUCCAGUGCAAGAGCUGGUUACAAACCUUUUGACAUCGGCAACGAGGCUAUGGAUGCUAUUUUUCGUCAGGUCCAGCGGGACAGAAAGUUAGGACCUGCUCUCGUAAGAGCUCGCUGGCCUGUGAUGGAUAAAUUCUUGGCCUCUAAUGGUCAUAUUAUCCUGCUAGAGUUAUGCCAGAGUCUACCUGCUGAUCGGUAUCUUCAUGACUUGGCUCAGUAUGCAUUUGGAGUUCUUCACAUUAUAACUCUUAUGCCACACAGCCGCAAAUUGAUGGUUCAUGCUACAUUAACUAACAACCGUAUUGGUAUGGCUGUUAUACUAGAUAUAGCAAACAGUGUUGUUGGCUAUGUUGAUCCUGAGGUGAUUUGUCCAGCAUUGAAUGUGCUUGUCAAUCUUGUAUGCCCCCCUCCAUCGAUCAGCAACAAGCCGUCCUCAGCUGUUAAUCAGCAACCUGCAGGAAGUUACUCAGAGAGCAGGGACAGGAAUGCUGAAAAAAGCACUUCGGAAAGAAAUGUUGCAGCGAACCAAAGUGAAUCUCGGGAACGAUAUGGUGAUGGCACACCUGUUGUGUCAUCUGGAGUUGUUGGUGACAAGAGAAUAUCGCUAGGCGUAGGAGCUGGGGGUCCUGGUCUUGCUGCUCAAUUGGAACAAGCUUAUCGCCAAGCUCGAGAAGUAGUCAGAGCCAAUAAUGGUAUAAAGAUUCUUUUGCAGCUUCUUGGCACUCGGAUGGUUACACAUCCUUUGGCUAUUGAUGCUAUUCGAGCACUUGCCUGUCGUGUACUGCUUGGCUUGGCUAGAGACGAUGCUAUUGCACAUAUACUGACGAAGCUCCAGGUAGGGAAGAAAUUAUCAGAACUAAUUCGUGAUACGAGUACCCAGUCAUCUGGAGGUGAUAAUGCAAGAUGGCUAAAUGAACUGACCCAAGUGGCAAUUGAGCUCAUUGCGGUCUUGACUAAUUCUGGUAAAGAAACAACCUUAGCAACUGAUGCUGCUGCUCCAGCAUUGAAGCGCAUUGAGCGAGCUGGCAUAGCAGCUGCUACUCCUGUCUCUUACCAUUCCAGGGAACUGAUGCAACUGAUACAUGAACAUCUCCUUGGAUCUGGUUUGGCUGCUACUGCUGCCAUGUUGCAGAAGGAGGCUGACCUUGCACCUUUGCCAUCAACUGCUGCAGUGCUACCUGUCCACCAGCCCGCUGCCCUGGAACCAUCAUCUGUUCAAGUUCAACAACAGUGGCCUUCUGGCCGUGUUCAGGGAUUUCUGUCCGACAAAACAAUGAUUGCUGCAGAUCAAGCUGGCCAACGAUCAGAUUCUGUUGUGCCUUCGUCUAAGAAGAAGGCACUGGUAUUCUCAUCCAGUUUCUCUAAACGAAAUCAACCCUUUGUUUCGUUUUCUGGUAAUAGAGCAAGCAAUAGCCUGAAAAGUCCUGUACCUGCCGGAAAUGUGGACAGUAUGACUUGCUCUGCCUCUGCUGCCAAUACUGGAGAUGUGGAGACAUCGCAUAAAACACCAAUUCCCUUGCCACUUAAGAGGAAGCUUGCGGAUAUGGAGUUUAGUUCUGCAUCAGCAGCAAAGCGCCCUGCAAUAAUGGAUCAAGCAUCCCAAUCUCCUGUGUUCCAAACUCCUGCUCCUACUCGCAGAGGCCUCUCUGUGGCAGUGGAUUCUCCUACUGCAGCAUUUCAUCCAGGAAGGACAAACUUCAACAACAUUUCCACUGAGAACUUUGAAGAUUCUCAAUGCACACCUGGAGUGGUAACAGGCACACCACAUCUUGGUGUAAAUGAUCAACAAACAGGAACUUCGGAGCGCAUGACACUCGACUCAUUGGUUGUACAAUAUUUGAAACAUCAACACCGCCAAUGUCCUGCUCCAAUAACAACUUUGCCGCCAGUCUCUCUGCUCCACCCUCAUGUUUGCCCUGAGCCUAGCCGCAGCAUUAGUGCACCAGCAAAUGUAACUGCUCGCAUGGGAAGCCGUGAGAUAAACAGGGAGUUUAGCGGGAUCAAAGUGCCCCGCAGGGAUCGCCAAUUUAUAUACAGCAGGUUCAAGCCAUGCCGUGUUUGCCGUGAUGAUGCCUCGCUGUUGACUUGCAUGACUUUUAUUGGAGGUGCAUCAAGGGUGGCGGCUGGGAAUCAUAGUGGUGAAUUAAGAAUAUUUGACAGCAACCUUGCAAAUCUCAUAGAGACGCACACUUGUCACCAAAAUCUUGUCACUAUGGUGGAUUCAACAUCUAUUGGUGGAACUGAGCUGAUUCUCUCAUCUAGCAUAGAUGAGGUUAAGCUCUUUGAUGCUUUCUCACUGCAUACGGGGCCUUUGCACACAUUUGAUAACUGCAAAGCUGCCAGGUUUAACCAUGCUGGGACUUUAUUUGCCUGCCUUUCUACGGAUGCAAAUCACCGGGCGGUUCUAUUGUAUGAUGUCCAGACGCAUAAUGUUGAUAUGCAGCUUCCUGAUAACUCCAGCCUGCCAGGUUCAGGCCGGGGUGUACAACCCAUUAUACAUUUCAGUCCUUCAGAUGAUAUGUUGCUGUGGAACGGGGUCCUGUGGGAUAGACGAAGUCCCACUCCUAUCCAUCAGUUUGACCAGUUCACAGACUAUUGUGGCGGUGGCUUUCAUCCAGCUGGAAAUGAGGUGAUCCUAAAUUCAGAGGUGUGGGAUCUGAGAAAGUUUAAGCUUCUGAGGAGUGUCCCAUCCCUGGACCAGACAGUAAUCAAAUUCAAUGGAAGUGGUGAUGUUAUCUAUGCCAUCCUCAGGCGUAACCUUGAGGAUGUAACGUCAUCCAUCCAAACCCGGAGGGUCAGACAUCCCCUGUUCCCUGCAUUCCGCACGAUCGAUGCCGUCACUUACGCAGACAUUGCAACCGUCCAAAUAGACCGUGGCGUCCUCGACCUUGCCACUGAGCCCAAUGAUUCCCUUCUCGGAGUUGUUGCCAUGGACGAUCCUGAUGAGAUGUUCUCCUCUGCUCGCAUAUUCGAAGUUGGCAGGAAACGGCCAACCGAUGAUGAUUCAGACCCGGAGGAUGGAGGGGACUCGGAGGAGGAUGAUGACGACGACGACGACUCGGACGUGGAUGUCCUCCUGGGGACCGAUUUAGGGCUCGGGGACACGGAUUCUGAGGAUGAUCCUAGUAACAGCAGCGGUGACGAUGGCGGUGACGAUGACGACGAGGAGGAUAUGGACAGCGGGGAUGAAAACGACGAUGAUGAUGAGGAAGGCGACUUUGAUGUGGGAGGGGGGUUGCUGGAGAUGAUGGGCGGCGGUGAGGGCGAUGAGAGUGACAUGAUCGAGUCCUUCAGCAGCGGUGAGGAAGAAGGGUGGCUCAUGUGA
rnacentral:rRNA from 1 species